ensembl:lncRNA
GUUAGACUGAAGAUUCUGAGAAGAAAAUAGCAGACUGUCACUCAAAAUAAAGUUCAUUUUAUACCCAGCAGAGCUAGGUUAAAAGACAUUUCCAUGCACUGAAAAUGCUUUCCAUCUUUAAAGCUGCAGUUUAAAAGAAAAAUGUUUUCCUCAUAUUUUUCUUCAGUGGCUUAAGGGAUAAUUACACUCUGGGACUUGCAUUUGGGAGAGCUUGUACUUUCUUGCCCUGUGUUAUUUGGAUGAAGUUAGAAUUAGAGAAGGUUGACGGAUGCUGAAAACUGAACUUUGCGACCUCGUCAAGAGCACCGCAAGCUGCCUCUGGAAAACUUCAUCUUACUUUCUCAUGCAGACCCACAAGUGCCUUCUUCAUGUCCUUCAUGUCACUCUGCAUCAUUUUAAGAGACAAGCAUCCAAAUCCAAUGGUACCUGAUCAGAGGUGCAGCAAACAUUAUAAGGGUUAAGUGGCUCAUCCUAGUCACUGUUACACAGCAAUUUUCUGAUAUCAUGACCAAAGAACACAUUUGCCAUGGAUACAGCAGGUAAAUCUUAAAAGAAGAUAAGCAUUAAAAGGUAAAGUUUAAAGAUAAAUCAGGAAUCCCUUGUGAUGAAUACUUUCCCAGUGUCUCGACUGGAACCACAACAAAUGCUCAUUUUGUCCAGAGAUUUUCUUACCUGCUGAUUUUGGGUGAUCAUGGUGUGACAUCAGAUCUUCAUUUGUACACUUCUGCUCAGUCCCUGUUUUACUCUAGCUAUAGGUCAGAGUCCUACAAAUGUUUAUUUUCCUAAACAGGAAAUCUUGGUCUACGAUGUGACAUAUGUAUGAUGCCUUUACCCACCCCAUACCUUAAUGAUGUCUCCCUCUUGAUUUUCUUCAUUUUUAGCAAAAAGUCAACAAAUAACCUGACAGUAAUAAACACUCCUCACCUCUAUUGCAGUAUAUAUAGCAGCGGUAAAUCUUUUCCUUUUUCCUUUUUCCUUCCAUUUGCUAUUGUUUUCUCUUAUUUAUCCCCAGAGUAACCUCUGUGUAUGGAACCAGUGUUUUUUUGUUUCUGCCUGUGCAAACUGGAUUUCAUUGUUUGUAGUGAUUAAAGCCUGUUUCUAAUGCUUGUUUACUCCAGUUCUUGAUACCGCUCUGCAUCAAUGAUACUUUUUCUCUUACUGAGAGCUUCACUAAGUCCAGUGCUGAAUUUCCUGAAUUUCAUGCUGGGCACGACAUAAAAGAACUCCUUGCAUAUAAAGCAAAACCGAUUUAACAGCAUACAUCACAAGAAUGCUACAGCAAAAGUGAACUCUCAUAAUGACCUCUUCAAACAUUCCUCUCCUCCAGCCAAAUUCAAUUUGCACAUUUGGUAGGAAAAUAAUAAUAAAGAAAAAAGAGAUUACUUAAUUGUUACAGGCACCUCUACUUUAUCAGCUUCAGCAGUAAUACACACUUCUUCCUUUCCUCAAGCUAAAAGUUAGAAUGUGGAGAUGAUGGGUAUGAACUCAUAUUCUCUGCAAAUCUUUUUUUCAGUGCAGAAUCAGAAUUAAUCAACUCACAGCUUCACUUUGAUAUGAUUUUGAGGUGCUUGCUCUGACAC